CAGCAGCCGCGGUAAUACGAAGGGUGCAAGCGUUACUCGGAUUUACUGGGCGUAAAGCGUGCGUAGGCGGCUUCUUAAGUCGGAUGUGAAAUCCCUGAGCUUAACUUAGGAAUUGCAUUCGAUACUGGGAAGCUAGAGUAUGGGAGAGGAUGGUAGAAUUCCAGGUGUAGCGGUGAAAUGCGUAGAGAUCUGGAGGAAUACCGAUGGCGAAGGCAGCCAUCUGGCCUAAUACUGACGCUGAGGUACGAAAGCAUGGGGAGCAAACAGGAUUAGAUUCCCGCGUAGUCCCUGUCUCUUAUAC
rnacentral:rRNA from 1 species